UGAAGUUAUAGAUGGUAUUUCUCCUCAUUUAGUGGUUUCCAUUAAUUUUUAAAGUUCCUGAAUCUCAUGCUUCCAGUAUCAACAUGCCUAACCAGCAGGGCCUCCAUUAAUUUUUAAAUAUAUGUUCUAAAUUAUAAAUUUAAGAGCCAGGCACAGUGGCUCACACCUGUAAUCCCAGUGACUUUGAAGGCUGAGUUGGGAGGAUCGUUUGAGGCCAGGAGUUUAAGAUCAAACUGGGUAACAUAGAGAGAUCCCAUCUAUACAAAAUUUUUUUUUCAAUGAGCCAGGUGUGGUGGCACAUGCCUGUAGUCCUAACUACUUGGGAGGUUGAGGUGGGAGGAUCCCUUGAGCCCAGGAAUUUGAGGCUAUAGUGAGCUAGGAUUGCAGCACUGCACUCCAGCCUGGAUAACAGAGUGAAACAAAUAAAAAAUAAAUACUUAUGUUUCUAUAAAUUUACAUACAUAGAUAAAUAUUAAAAAUAUAUUAAGCCAGCUAUAGUGGCACACACCUGUAGUCCCAGCUACUUGGGAGGCUAAGCUGGCAGGAUUUCUUGAGCCCAGGAUUUCGAGGCCAGCCUAGGCAACAUAAUGAGACCCCAUUUCUUUAAAAAAAAAAAUAUAUAUAUAUAUAUAUAAAUAUAUAUACACACAUAAACACACAAACCAAUAUCCAAAAAAUAUAUCUUUAAAAAUGUAUUGUCUCAGCCGGACAUGGUGGCUCAUGCCUGUAAUCCCAGCACUUUGGGAGGCCGAGGCAGGUGGAUCACAAGGUCAGGAGAUCGAGACCACCCUGGCUAACACGGUGAAACCCCGUCUCUACUAAAUAUAAAAAAAAUUAGCCAAGCAUGGUGGUGGGCGCCUGUAGUCCCAGCUACUUAGGAGGCUGAGGCAGGAGAAUGGCGUGAACCUGGGAGGCGGAGCUUGCAGUGAGCCGAGAUCGUGCCACUGCACUCCAGCCUGGGCGACAGAGCGAGACUCCGUCUCAAAAAAAAAAAAAAUGUAUUGUCUCCAGUUCAUCAGUAUAUGUAUUAUCUACCUACUCUUAAAAGAAUAAAGGCCAGGCGCAGUGGCUCACGCCUGUAAUCCCAGCACUUUGGGAGGCCGAGGCAGUGCUGGGAUUAUAGGCCUCACUUGUAAAUCUAAGCUAACAAUGCCUGCCUUGCAUAUGAGCUUUUCAGAUUGUUAAUAAGGUUUAAGAGGGCAUGGCACACAGUAGGUCAUCAUCUUUAUGACCUCCAUUCUUGUAAAUCUGAUGCUCAUUCCAAUUUCAGUGUUCUGGGUUCUUCAAAAAGUCCCCACCACUAAAACUUUGCUUUAUCAUGAAGAUUUCACUCAGUCCAUUGUGUGAUAGUAUUCAUAAAGCACCUGAAAGUACUACCUCUCAAAUGAGUAUCUCCCGUUCUCAAAAUCAAUGCCACACAUAGACUCUAAUUCAACCAUGGUACAGGGGAUGGUGAAUUAGGCCUGGAGCCUCUAAGCAAUGGCCUGCCAUCCAACAUCAAAUCA
rnacentral:lncRNA from 10 species